AAUCCAUCCAUCGCUAAUCUGCCCCGUCGUAAAAGAAAAACCGCUGCCCGCACGACCCACGACCACGACCUCGACCUCUCGCCCGCCAUCUCCAUCUCCCAGCCACCCGAGUGCCGCCCCUCCCGGUCGCAACCGCUCGCCCGUCCGCCGCCGCCCCCAUCCGCCCGCUGGCUGCCGCUGCCGCCCGUCCGCCGUCGCCCCCGUCCGCCCCCUGGCUACCGCUGCCACCCCUCCCUGGUGAGCGCCUCCAUCCUCCUAUAUCGUAGGUCUGCAUCAUCGCGUGGACUCUUACGUGGACAUUUUUUUAUGAAUUCGUGGUUGCAGCCUCGCCGGCUCUCCGCUACCCGAGUGAAAGACCUGGACGGCUCAUGUGGAGAAAAAAGAGAGGGAAACAGGGAGAGAGAGGGAGAGGGAGCAGAGAACAGAGCACAAAGAUGAUAGAUUCGGGUUGCCGCUGGAAGUUGCUGUUGUGUAUUGUGAGCGCGUGCUCGCUGGUGAAGCUGCUGCUGCUUGUGAGUACUCAAUGGUGGAGCUGUCACUGCUGUGUGAGGCGCAUGUAUGUUGCUUUUUGUAUGAUGCUACUGGUUGCUGUAUAUUUAGAUAGAUAACAGACAUAUUGCACUUAAUUUGUCUCUGAACGCAACCUGUAAUUACAUCUCUUUCUUUUUCUGAACCACUCUUUCUCUCUUACAUAUGCAGUUAUGCACCUUCUCACAUUUGAAUGGUGACAAUUUGUACUAGGAUGGGAGGUAUUGGAUCUGAGUAUGUGAAGGAGGAGCAAGAUGGAAUUGACAAGGCAAGAAUUGUUUUCCUUUUAAUUCGGAUUCAUGUUGCCUGACUGAUGAAGAGUGAACUUUGUAUGAGACUGACGAAAGGGUUGUUUCCGCGCCUCACGAAGCAAGGAAAUUUUUGACACCGUCCCAGUAUCAUGAGAAUUUAAGUGACUAAAUUAGGACAGUCGUAGGGUUUCAUCUUAAUUAAAAAUAAGAGCAUUGUAGCACUCCUUUAUAGAUGUGACUUUUGUGCUAACAGUAGACGGCUGUAUCAAUUUUCUGUUUUUCAGCCAUGCAAGCAAAUCAGUUAACUAUAAUUAUAGUUUGCAGCAACAAAGAAGGUGAAUUAGAUCUGCUCUCACAAUGGAAUCAGUAGAAAUAACUCCCCGUAGUCAUAUAUGAGGUGUGCUUUCAGUAAGUUCUGGAGCAAAGAGCAAGAUGCAAGUGUGAUUCGGAAUCUCAUGCUUGGUUUCUCCUACUCUUUUCUGCAGUGCACUUCCAAAUUUAUCUCAUUCCCUAGAGUUAUUGUAGGUAAUCUCUCAUUCCCUGGAGUUACUUUAGGUAAUGAUUCUAAGAAAUCUUGCAGGUAACCAUGCUCUUACUUCAGCAAUCUUAAGUUAUUUUAGUGUCUUCUUUAUAACGGUAAAUGUUUAAACCUAAAGAUUUAACUAUUUCCAGGACACGCUUCUAUCUACUAAUCAUAUUAUUUUCAUCUGCUAGGUAAUCAAACCGGGUUACAUUUGCUGGACUUAAACAAGGAUUUUUUUAAGAGAGAUAUAUAAUACAACAAAAAUUCUUGUUUCGUCUUUGUAUAUGUGUAUGUUUGUAAAACCAUUUAUAUGCCUGCUACUCUUACAUGAAAAGUUCAUAUUUCUUACUUUUGUGACACAAUGGGUUGACAUAUUUAUACAAGUGUAUGUAAAGACAUGUAUGUUGUUGCAGUACUAACCUACUUAUUAUUUAUUUGUUAUCAGUGCAUAUACCAUGUUUUUCAUUUGGUCCCUUCAUUGCAACCUUAGUGGUAUCUUUGAGUGAUCAAUAAACUGGGUAUGAUAUUGAGUUAUUGACAAUACAAUUAUUCAGGAAACUAUCAGCCAUAAAAGGUCUGUUGCAUCCUCUAUGUUGGAUAUACCAUGUUUUUAAUACAGUCCCUUCCUUGCAACCAUAGUGGUAUCUUCGAGUGAU
rnacentral:rRNA from 1 species